UGGGCUGUAGUUCAAUUGGUAGAACGCCUGACUCUGGAUCAGGAGGUUGCAGGUUCGAGUCCUGCCAGCCCAG
rnacentral:tRNA from 1 species